UGUUGAAGUAUUUAUUUGUACCAGCCCACUUAUUGGAAAUUACAGAUACUGUGUCAGAGAGAAAUAUGAAUGGGUUGAAAAUCACUUUGGUAGUGACUGGUCAAGUAAAAUAAUAAUGACCACAGACAAAACAGUGAUCAAUGGUCAUCUUCUUAUUGAUGAUAGACCACAUAUAAGAGGUGCAAUGAAACAUCCAUCAUGGAAACAUAUUCUGUUUAGUGCCUGUCACAACAAUAAGAUGACAUUUCCUGAAAGCAAGAGACAACUUGAGAAUUGGUUAAAUGGUGAAUGGAGGGGGCUGAUUAGUGAGUUUAAGAAGAAACAUCAAAUUGAAUGAAAGACAGUGACAAAGGAAAUUUUGUGUGUGUGUGUGUGUGAGAGAGAGAGAGAGAGAGAGAGAGAGAGAGAUAAGGUGGGGAGAAGUUGAAUGAAAGAGGGAGAAUUUGUUAGAAUAUUGUAUUUUUUUAUAGAUUAUAUUAACAUUUCCAUGUAAGAAUUCUGGUAAGAAUUUUGGGCAUUUAUUUACUGCUGGGGCAAUUAUAAUUUUACAUUGUUUUGCUUCUACUAACCAGUAAGCUGUGAAAAAAUAGUGAACCAUGUGUGUCAGCCAGGUAGACUGAGAAUGAUGAACUAUCUGGCUCCUUUAGAGAACACAGAACAAAACGCAACGCCUGUACUUUAAUUUGUACUCAUGAUCUUGUUUAUACUAAUGAAUGGUUAUAUUUUUUCUUUUUAAGAUGUAAACAAUACAUAUUUUAUUUAUUGAAAAUUUAGAUAGUUUA
rnacentral:lncRNA from 1 species